rnacentral:lncRNA from 9 species
AGCGAAUCCAAGCCUGUCUGACCUCGACUGGGGAACCGGUCUUUAUCUUAUGAAAGCAUUCUUUGGACCACCUAUUCUGAGAACAUCUUAGAAAGGGAAGACCCCGGGCCCUACUUCUGAGUUAGAGAGCAGAGGAUGCGGCUGACUCGGUGAUGGUUUUGUGGCCGGUGUAUGUGGUCCGAACCCAGAGCACCUCUGCUGGUGCCGGCCCACGUGGGAGGGAGAGAGGUUGUGUCCUCAUUUGUUUGUCAGCCUCCUUCCCAGCGGCCCCCAAUUCCCUGUGCAUCUGUCUCCGUGGAGCCUUCUCCACCGGGGGCCAAAUACCAAAGAGAAAACAGCCGAAGGAUUCAACCGGGGUUCAUGGCCAGGUCAGCUGGAAGCAGGGAGAACAGAGGCCGAGAGAAUAAUGAAGCUGGACAGGGCGGACCUUGGAGCUCAGGCUGCCCUCAGUGGACACGUGCCAGGGCUGGGAGAACCGUGGACUUUUCCAGCUUUUGCCUGUGGCCCCGAGGAAGUGCACAAGGGGACAAAACCAGCAGUGGAGGUAAGAGGGGUCGGGGAGGGGAGAGAAAGCGGCUCCUUUCUGCUCCUUCGUGUCCACACCCUCUCGGUGCCCUGGGCCUCUGUCCACCCUCCCUCCACCGUCGUCAGCCAUCUGCAGGUAGCUCCGCCCAGGAUCGGCUUCCUCCUAACACGGGUCACAGCCGGUGGGUGGUCGUGCAGUCUCUUCGUUGGUGAUGCUGGUUCUGUUUCCUGCCGAAGAGAAUAGAGUAGGAAGCACAGUCAUCAUUUAUGACAUUUGGCAAAUAUAUUUGCUUAGUGAUAUUUUUGUUCCAGUGUUGUUUGUGUGUGUGAGGGGUAGAUGCACACACACACAUUCUGCCGUAUAAACUGCAUUCCUUUUCGUGGGUCACAGUCCAGGAAAUCACAGAGUUAGAGCAGAAGCUCCACAAGGCCAGGACUCCUGUGUGGACGGAAUGGCCAUGCAGUGUAGACAGAACGGCCAUGCGGUGUAGACAUAAUGGCCAUGCCGUGUGGACAUAAUGGCCAUGCAGUGUAGACGUAAUGGCCAUGCGGUGUAGACGUAAUGGCCAUGCGGUGUAGACGUAAUGGCCAUGCCCAGCACUGUACACGGUUGAUGUGAACACAAGGGGGGUGGGGGUGCCGUCCAGACACGGCAGUUGAGCUGGGCCCACAGCUCUCAGCAGACUGCUCUUUAUAAAGUCCCUGAUGAGAAACUACAUCCAUUCUCCUGGAAUAAACCAUGAUGGCAAA